rnacentral:lncRNA from 1 species
UUGCUAUUAUAUGUCAACUUUGCUGUAGGUAGUUGAAUUUUGAUUUAACUCGUCUUCUUUUCCCUUUCUUACUAAAGCAUGGAUAUAGUUAGAACUGACCAGUAGAAUACUUGAGGUAAAGCGCAAAAAAGGCACUCACUUUUUUCUGGAAUUAUUUUAGGCCUUCCGAUGACGUGCGUUCAGCGGGAGGAGAUGUCCCUGUCGACUACGAUGGAGUCUGGCGAUUUUGUCAAUCUAAGAUGAUGUGCUGGCUCAGUCUCUCGGUGGUGCUCAUAAGGAUAUGGGUGUGUGUGUGCGUGCGUUCAUAAGGGUGAGUAUAUGUGUAUGUACGAGUAUAUGUGUAAAAAAACAUAAUCUUUGUUCUUGAUUUUUGAAAAUCCAUCUCUGCACCCGAGCUCAUCUGCACUCGAGCUGACGAAAAAAAUCAAAACAAA